rnacentral:sRNA from 1 species
UUCCGGACACGGGCGUUGAGGAAACUCUUCGCCCGUGUGCGUAUGUUAAGGGUAAAUUAAAU